CAGCCGCCGCGGUAAUACGAAGGGUGCAAGCGUUAAUCGGAAUUACUGGGCGUAAAGCGUGCGUAGGCGGUUUGUUAAGUCUGUUGUGAAAUCCCCGGGCUCAACCUGGGAAUGGCAAUGGAUACUGGCAAGCUAGAGUGUGUCAGAGGAUGGUAGAAUUCCCGGUGUAGCGGUGAAAUGCCUAGAGAUCGGGAGGAACAUCAGUGGCGAAGGCGGCCAUCUGGGACAACACUGACGCUGAGGCACGAAAGCGUGGGGAGCAAACAGGAUUAGAUACCCCCGUAGUCCCUGUCUCUUAUAC
rnacentral:rRNA from 1 species